rnacentral:rRNA from 1 species
GAUGAACGCUGGCGGCGUGCCUAAUACAUGCAAGUCGAGCGAACAGACGAGGAGCUUGCUCCUCUGACGUUAGCGGCGGACGGGUGAGUAACACGUGGAUAACCUACCUAUAAGACUGGGAUAACUUCGGGAAACCGGAGCUAAUACCGGAUAAUAUAUUGAACCGCAUGGUUCAAUAGUGAAAGACGGUUUUGCUGUCACUUAUAGAUGGAUCCGCGCCGCAUUAGCUAGUUGGUAAGGUAACGGCUUACCAAGGCAACGAUGCGUAGCCGACCUGAGAGGGUGACCGGCCACACUGGAACUGAGACACGGCCCAGACUCCUACGGGAGGCAGCAGUAGGGAAUCUUCCGCAAUGGGCGAAAGCCUGACGGAGCAACGCCGCGUGAGUGAUGAAGGUCUUCGGAUCGUAAAACUCUGUUAUUAGGGAAGAACAAAUGUGUAAGUAACUAUGCACGUCUUGACGGUACCUAAUCAGAAAGCCACGGCUAACUACGUG